rnacentral:rRNA from 1 species
GACGAACGCUGGCGGCGUGCUUAACACAUGCAAGUCGAACGAUGAAGAAAAGAAUUGAAGCUUCGGCAGAAAUUCAUUUCGGAUUAGUGGCAGACGGGUGAGUGACGCGUGAGCAACCUACCUCUUACAAAGGGAUAGCCUCGGGAAACCGGGAUUAAUACCAUAUAACAUUGCGACGAAGCAUUUCGAUGCAAUCAAAGCUACGGCGGUAAGAGAUGGGCUCGCGUCCCAUUAACCAGAUGGUGAGGUAACGGCUCACCAUAGUAACGAUGGGUAACCGGCCUGAGAGGGUGAACGGUCACACUGGAACUGAGACACGGUCCAGACUCCUACGGGAAGCAGCAGUGGGGAAUAUUGCACAAUGGAGGGAACUCUGAUGCAGCGACGCCGCGUGAGUGAUGAAGGAAUUCGUUUUGUAAAACUCUGUUCUAUGGGAAGAAAAGGACUGAACCAUAGGAGAAAGCUCCGGCUAAAUACGUG